UUGAGUUUGAUCCUGGCUCAGAUUGAACGCUGGCGGCAGGCCUAACACAUGCAAGUCGAACGGUAACAGGAAGCAGCUUGCUGCUUCGCUGACGAGUGGCGGACGGGUGAGUAAUGUCUGGGAAACUGCCUGAUGGAGGGGGAUAACUACUGGAAACGGUAGCUAAUACCGCAUAACGUCGCAAGACCAAAGAGGGGGACCUUGGGGCCUCUUGCCAUCGGAUGUGCCCAGAUGGGAUUAGCUAGUAGGUGGGGUAACGGCUCACCUAGGCGACGAUCCCUAGCUGGUCUGAGAGGAUGACCAGCCACACUGGAACUGAGACACGGUCCAGACUCCUACGGGAGGCAGCAGUGGGGAAUAUUGCACAAUGGGCGCAAGCCUGAUGCAGCCAUGCCGCGUGUAUGAAGAAGGCCUUCGGGUUGUAAAGUACUUUCAGCGGGGAGGAAGGGAGUAAAGUUAAUACCUUUGCUCAUUGACGUUACCCGCAGAAGAAGCACCGGCUAACUCCGUGCCAGCAGCCGCGGUAAAAUG
rnacentral:rRNA from 1 species